rnacentral:tRNA from 2 species
GCCUCAGUGGCUCAGUUGGCAGAGCGGCUGACUUGUAAUCAGCAGGUCCCGAGUUCAAAUCUCGGCUGAGGCU